AGCUCUGGUGGCCUAGUGAUUAGAGCGUCCGCCUCGACUGCAGGAGGUCGAGGGUUCGAACCACGGCCGAGUUA